UUUCUUCCCAGCAUGCCCUGCCCGAGGCCAGCGCACCCUGCCCUCUUCCCUGACCUGCCCACCAACCUCCCGGAGCAGCGUUAGAUGACAUUUUUCUUCCCCUGAAUGUUUAGGUCAAGCCAGCUUUACGGCUGCAGACUGGAUGACUAGACACAGCCUUUGGGGCAGGGUGGCUGUCCCUGAAUAACACUCUGGUCAUUCUCCCUGGUACUGUCCCUUCCUGCUGUUUUCUGAGCUGUCUUUCCCUAGAAUGUCACGUUUCUGCUUAUUGCCUGCCAGGAAGACGUCACCCAGGGUGUGUGCUCCCCGCUGCUUCCUUUCUGCAGGCACCUACUCAGCCCGGCAGCAAUGUUUUUAAAGCAUGUGCUGGACACAGAACUGGAGGGGAUGCGGAGCUGACGGAGAGAGCACCAGCUCACAGCCUCGGAUUACCUGGUAUCCUUGAUAAGUGGGAGCUCCUGCCUUCUGAGGAUACUUGGCCCCAUUACAGUCCAGACACAGUCCAGACACAGUCCUCACGGUAAGCCAGACAGCUCCUGAGUUCCUGUUCUCCUCAGGGGCACACCCCACCUGAAGGAGGAGGAGCCUUCUAGUGGCCUCGACCCCAUGAUGGUAGAGGCAUGUGGUACACUCCAGGGGCCAGGGUGGAACCCCAGAGAACCUGGUGAGUGUCUGGCCAUGCCCUCUCCUGUUGCCCCACCCCUGCACCCCCAAAGGCAGAGGGGGUCUUGGAUUAGCCCUUCCCUGGCCUCCUGACACUGCCUUACCACAUAGUCACAGCAGGCUGGAAACCAGGCCCCCAGAGGUACAGGACCCCUGCUCAGGAGCCCCCAGCCCACCCUUAGCACUCUUAGUCCUGAGCUGCGACCCAGGAGGGGGCCGAAGGGGUGGGAAAAACCAUGGACAGCCCUUGAGGUGUGGGACACUCACACUCACCUGGUCUGGGGGUACCUGUACUGUCACUACACGGCCUGCUGACCCUCCAGGGCCCUCCUGCCUUUUCCUCCCCCUUGGGACCCUGAGUACGGGAUCUGCUGGUCAAUAGGCUCUCACUGCAGAGACUUGAGACAGGCCGUUCCCCAGGCAGUCAACCAGGAGCAGAAGGCCCUCAUUGCCCAGACCAGGAAAAACGGAAAGGCCACUCUUUCCCUUCGGGAUUCUUUUCCAAAAGUACAUGACUCUUCACAGUUGUUCACCAGAGGCCAUGAUGGACUAAGAACGCAGCUUGAGGCAAGGAGGGUGUUAGCAGAGCGCUCAUUGAGCAUGGGGGAAGCCAAGUGCAUCAGCAGUCCACCUAGAAACCACUGCUAUGAAGAGAAACUGACAGUGGCCCAGAGCCCAAACCCACAGGCUGAGCUUCUGACACAAAUGAUGAAGGUUGAACCCUGCUGAGGGGGCUACAGCCCCGGGGACCCACUAGCAGAGGCUGAGUCAGAAAGCAAAAGGCCAGCUUGGUCUGCCCAGUUCACUCCUAUUCUGAAUUAACUAAGGACAAAGUCCAAGUUGCCAAUCAGGUGAGUAGUGAGCCCAGGGCUGAGCUACGGCCACCGGGCCUGCUGGGAGCCCUGCACAGAGUGGACGCACUGGGCAGCAACUCCCACCCUGUGAGUUCUGCAAACUGCCGUGUUCUCCCUCCACAUUUCGUGUUUUUCUUCCUGGCUGGUCCUCUUUCCUGCAUGAAUAAGGCUCUUAUGCUGCAUUUCUGCUUCAAAAGGAACAAAAAAAAAAAACAGUUUUACUAAGUUUCACUCCCAGCUUCCCUGGCGGUGAAUGCAGGGCACUCACCAUCCAGCGGAUCACUCAACAGUCACCAUUCACUCUGUCCACCUCUGCUCUGCUUCAGGAGGCCAGUAGGUGCCCAGUGCAGCCCAGGGAGAAAGCUACUUAAGAGUGGUUAAUCAGCAGGUGACCCACUGCCAGAAAUUACCCACUGCAUUCAUACCGAAACCCAGUCAGCCGUCCCCUCAGCGUCUGGUGGGACCGCAAGCUUUGACGGUGGUGUUCCCCAUGGGAGGCCCAGAUCCCCAAGGGUUGGGUUACAUUCCAGUGAAUGGUGCGUGUAGCGGACACUACAGGUUAGGAGAUAAAGCAAACAAUAGAACCAGAUGAAUCUGAACCAUAUCAGAUUUUUCAGGAAAAAGUAGUGGAAGAAUUUCAGAGACUGGAUUCUAACUGAAUAGGAAAAGGACUUAGGAAGUGGCAAGGCUGCCUCUCGUCCCCUUCAUGUCCCCAUUACUCCCGUGUGCAUGUGGUCACCCUCCUUCAGCACCUUACAGGUGUCAGGACGGCAGGAGCAACAGUGCCCGGGCAGAGGGUUCACUCUGCAUAGGGCCACUGCUGCCGGCUAGAGGAAAUGGACGGCUUACAAGACAUUUACAAAACUGAAUCAAAAGUAAUCACAAUAUUCAUUAAAUUUCACUCCUGGCUCUGACUUAGGGGCUUUCCUUAGAAUAUGUCAUUCAGUCCUAAUAAGGUGGGCAGUUAUAUUGGACCAAGCACGUUGCAGGGGUAAGGUGCAGAGAGGUACCAUGGCAAGACCUGGUGUCCGGUCAUCAAUGGGGCUAAAUUCAAGUCCAGGGCAGCCUGGAACCUACACCUCUGUUCUUAACCUACACAGCCUGAUAAGGGCUGUUUUCCAUUCAUUUAUUCACUUGAGUGAGGUGGGUGGUGCUCCGGUGUGUGGGGGUACAAGAAAGACCGUGCCCCUGUCCCCAGUCUGCCUUCAGUUAGGACCAGAAGAAAGCCCAGGGAGAUGAGAACAUGCUGGAAGGGUCCAGUGGCUCCCUCACCAGAACCCCGUGAACUCUCGGGGUGUUUGUCAAGCACCACCUUGGUGGCUCUGCUGGGAUCUGGUGGAGAGAUUUCCCACCACUCACAAUGAGAGUUAUCUAUUUAGAAGCAGCUGCCAUUCAGGAAAAGUUCCUUUUGUGUGUGUGAAGGUGAAAUCUCCCUGCAAUGUCUGCUUCUUGGUUCUCACAAGAUCUGCCCUCCGGCUCCCCCACCAGCUGACACUGCUCCUUCUUUCAUAGUUAACUCUGGAAUCAGCUCUGAGAUUCCCUGCACGUCCUUUCUCUAUCUUCUCCAAGCUAAACAUCAGAAGUCCCUUAUGUCUGUUUUCUGAGAGGUGGGAGCAGAAUCCUUAUCCACCCAGCCAUCCCAGAGGAUGAGCUGGAGGUCAGAGAGGUACAGUGAGGUCUGACCUGGGUCCUGCUGAGCUUCAGGGCGGUGGCCCUUGGUCACACUUGCUCUCCACCAUUGUCCUGGGGAGCCUCACACAUCAGGCAGCAGCUUUGGAGAACCUCCAUUCACGAAGGUGACAAGGACUGUGCAGCGCUCCUGGCACUGCGGUUGCUGCGGUAGGCUCGACCUGCACACUACAUGCAGAAGGCUGUCUUGCAUCAGCAUUAAUCAGCAUCUUUAAUGCUUGGUCCACAGGGAGCGCCCAGCAUGAGCUGGUCGGGUGGACCCAGCUGACCUCUCCGCACCCAUCAGCUUCACUUUGCUGUUCUUUGCCUGCAUAAAUAUUUAUCUUUGAUGUUUCUGCUGGAGCAGGAACUGCAGUGCUGUGAGCUGUGUCUUCACUUCUCCUCGGCUUUCUCUGGGCUGGAAAUAAGCCAGGGAAGAGUGAAGAAGAGCUGGACAGGGAGUCGGAGGUCUGAGGAAUAAUCCCAACGGUGCUGCCAGGCAGAACCUCCAUGGACCCCAGUGUGGGGCCUCCCUGCAGAGCGGACUCUCUUAACCAGCGGGCAUGCAGGACCCUUCUUGUCAUGUAACCUUCUGAAGCAGAGUGAGCACUCCAUCUCAGCUGCUAUGGUCUCACCUUUUGACUACUCGGUGGCAACAUCUAAAUGUUUAUCAUGGUGAAACAGCAUGACAGGUAGCUAAUGUAGCCCCAGACGAAGCCCACACAAUGCCCCAGGAAACCUCUCAGGUCCCCUGUCCCCUUCAGGGAAACCAGGCUGGUUUGGAGCAAAAGCCUUAAUCUGGCUUUUCCUGGCACACACCUUUUUCUCCUGUAUCCUGGCAUACACCCCUUGGCUGCCAAGUAGGCCCUCUGGGUCCCCAUGGUUCCUCUAAACCAUCCACACGCACACUGUGCUCACAGCCACCCAGCUCCUUCCUGGGGCACCAGCCACGGCCACAGAGGACAGGUGUGCUAACGUGGAGGGGAACACAGAGCCAGGGUCGGGGCAGAGAGAAAGAAAGCAGGUGUGCUCAGCAGAGGGGAGCACAGAGCCAGGGUCAGGACAGAGAGACAGAGAGCAGGUGUGCUCAGCAGAGGGGAGCACAGAGCCGGGAUCAGGACAGAGAGACAGAGAGCAGGUGUGCUCAGCAGAGGGGAGCACAGAGCCGGGAUCAGGACAGAGAGACAGAGAGCAGGUGUGCUCAGCAGAGGGGAGCACAGAGCUGGGGUCACGAUUAUUGCGCAGAUGCAUCGGCUUUGCAGAACAGCCACAAAUGAGUCUGCAGGGCAGUGACAUGCCGCUGGUCCUUCCAGAGCUCAAGGAUUUGCUGGUGUCCCUCUGCAGUGCCCUGUCCUCAAACUGUGUUGGAGUCAUCCCCCAUUCUGUGUGCAGGUGCCCAGCCUCGGGGACGGAGCUGAGCGGGACAAGAUGCUCUGCUGUAGCCCCUUCCCACCCUGUGGACCUGGCGGCCUAUUUUUGCUCAGCCUGGGCUUUUUUACUUUUAAGCAGAAAUUCUGCUAUGAGAAUCUGUUUCCUCGGGGUCUAAGAGAAUGGCCAGGCUGGCGAUGGCGGAGUCUCUAUGGGGAAGUCUGGGCUGAUGAUGAAAAGAAAUGGAGACGUGGACCUGCCAGACUUGGGAUUUUAAAAUUGCAUCUAAAUGUCAUUUGUCACAUUGUCAGGAUGUGGCCAAUACACUAAAGAAAUUUGUCAAGUAUUUAAACUGUGUGGACGCUGCAGCAGGCAGGCUAUGGCCAGGCCCUGCAACAAGCCUGGCCCCCAUUUGCCCUGGGCCCCACCAAGGGCGCCACCUCCAUCUUAUGGAAUAGUGUCUUAUCUUUUCUUUACUGACAACUCAGCAAAUGUGACUUUUUCUAUGGCAUUCAGCAGAAUUUUCCUUAAAGCAAAGAAAUUCUAAUCCAAGUCAGAAAAUCUGCUUAUUAUAAGUUUGAUAAGCCAAA